GCAGAGUUGUCAACCAGGACGGAGGCCAAACCGGGGGGAACCCAAGAUAUUUUCACACAUCCUACAUCAAGAAAAGGAGAAAGGGCAUCAAAGGGUACUCAAGAAAAAAACCAGAAGAGGCCUCUUCAAA